rnacentral:rRNA from 1 species
AUACGGAGGAUGCAAGCGUUAUCCGGAUUCAUUGGGUUUAAAGGGUGCGCAGGCGGAGAGAUAAGUCAGUGGUGAAAAACUGCCGCUCAACGGUAGUCUUGCCAUUGAUACUGUCUUUCUUGAGUAUGGAUGAGGUAGGCGGAAUGUGCAGUGUAGCGGUGAAAUGCAUAGAUAUUGCACGGAACACCAAUUGCGAAGGCAGCUUACUGGACCAUUACUGACGCUCAGGCACGAAAGCGUGGGGAUCAAACAGGAUUAGAUACCCUGGUAGUCCACGCAGUAAACGAUGUUCACUCGCUGUUUGCGAUAUACUGUAAGCGGCUUAGUUAAAGCAUUAAGUGAACCACCUGGGGAGUACGAUCGCAAGGUUGAAACUCAAAUGAAUUGGCGGGG